rnacentral:rRNA from 1 species
GACGAACGCUGGCGGCGUGCUUAACACAUGCAAGUCGAACGGAAAGGCCCUGAUUUCGUGGGCUGCUCGAGUGGCGAAGGGGUGAGUAACACGUGAGUAACCUGCUCUAGACUUUGGGAUAACUUAAGGAAACUGGGGCUAAUACAGGAUAGGAGACCACGCAGCAUGGAGGGGGUUGGAACGUCUCGGCGGGAGGGGAUGGACUCGCGGGUUAUCAGCUUGUUGGUGGGGUAGUGGCUGACCAAGGCAGUGACGGGUAGCCGGCCUGGGAGGGUGACCGGGGACAUGGGGACUGAGGGAGGGCGCAGACUGCAACGGGGGACAGCAGGGGGGAGUAUGGCACAGUGGGCGGGAGCCGGUUGCGGCGGCGCCGGGGGCGGGAAGACGGCCUGCGGGGUGUGAACCGCUGUCGGCUGAGACGAAGCGGUAGUGACGGUAAUGGGUGAAGAAGCACCGGCUAACUACGUG